rnacentral:rRNA from 1 species
AGUAAAAGUCGUAACAAGGUUUCCGUAGGUGAACCUGCGGAAGGAUCAUUAAAGAGUAAGGGUGCUCAGCGCCCGACCUCCAACCCUUUGUUGUUAAAACUACCUUGUUGCUUUGGCGGGACCGCUCGGUCUCGAGCCGCUGGGGAUUCGUCCCAGGCGAGCGCCCGCCAGAGUUAAACCAAACUCUUGUUAUUAAACCGGUCGUCUGAGUUAAAAUUUUGAAUAAAUCAAAACUUUCAACAACGGAUCUCUUGGUUCUCGCAUCGAUGAAGAACGCAGCGAAAUGCGAUAAGUAAUGUGAAUUGCAGAAUUCAGUGAAUCAUCGAAUCUUUGAACGCACAUUGCGCCCCUUGGUAUUCCGAGAGGCAUGCCUGUUCGAGCGUCAUUACACCACUCAAGCUAUGCUUGGUAUUGGGUGCCGUCCUUAGUUGGGCGCGCCUUAAAGACCUCGGCGAGGCCUCACCGGCUUUAGGCGUAGUAGAAUUUAUUCGAACGUCUGUCAAAGGAGAGGACUUCUGCCGACUGAAACCUUUUAUUUUUCUAGGUUGACCUCGGAUCAGGUAGGGAUACCCGCUGAACUUAAGCAUAUCAAUAAGCGGAGGA